rnacentral:lncRNA from 1 species
CAAUAUUUAGUUAAAAUAUUCAUUUAUUAUAAGAUUGGUUUAUUUUGGAAGGAGCUAUUUUUUGUUUUGGAUUUGUGCGGUGAGAGGAAGAGUUUUAUUUCCAAGUUUCCUUUUGGAAAACAGUGGCCACGGAAGAAAAUAAGAAGAUGGAAAAUUAAGUCAAUCAUACUUUAAUUUGUUUUUUUGGAAUACAUAAUCAUUUUGGGGAUAUUUUGGAUGGAAUGUGGAUGUUUUGUUUGGUUUUUGUGGAAUAAAAGUUGAGUUUUCCGAUACUGGGCAGCUACCUGCUUGCCGUACCUUCCUGUUGGUGUGGAGUACCUCCCUAGGGUUGGGAACCAGAGGAUACCUUAUUUGGCUCUCCCCUCAUCAUCUUCACCGAAGGUUGGAAGAAGCAAUCCGCCUACUUUUUGUAGGGACAGGUUUUUAUAUAACUAAAUUUGCAUGUCAAUUUGUUUUAAUAAUAACUUCCAAUUUUACUAUUUUUUUUUCUCUUCGUAUCAAUAACUUUCAAAUCACUCUAAUAAUAAUAUACCCUCAUUGUUUUUUCUUAACCAUAAUUAACGUAAUAUUCAAUAUUUUUCAACAAUUUUUAUUAUAUUUCACCCUUAUUUAAUUUAUUUAAAAUAGCCUGGGAUUUAUAAACCAUAUGUAAGAUAAUGUGCACAGUAUCUAGGUCAUAUCCUAUUUAAUAAUAGUUAUUCCAGUUGUCGGAUGUUGUCACCUCCGAUUAGAUACGGUAUUGUCAACCAAUAUUGUAACCCUCAUUAAUAAUAAGUUGUUAAGGUAAAUACCUAUUCAUACUAAAUUCAUUACAUAUUUUUUUUCUACUGUAAAACCUGCAUUAUCGACAGCAGUGUACUAGCCUAGUACGUCGGAUAAUUAGCUAGUGUAAAAAUUGUAUAUAGGGUAUAUAGGUUUUUUUAUUAAAUGUGGUUGUACAUA